rnacentral:rRNA from 1 species
UACGAAGGGGGCUAGCGUUGUUCGGAAUCACUGGGCGUAAAGCGCGCGUAGGCGGGUCGUUAAGUCGGGGGUGAAAUCCCGAGGCUCAACCACAGAAUUGCCUUCGAUACUGUUUGGCUUGAGUAUGGUAGAGGUUGGUGGAACUGCGAGUGUAGAGGUGAAAUUCGUAGAUAUUCGCAAGAACACCAGUGGCGAAGGCGGCCAACUGGACCAUUACUGACGCUGAGGCGCGAAAGCGUGGGGAGCAAACAGG